rnacentral:rRNA from 1 species
UACGGGGGGUGCAAGCGUUGUUCGGAAUUACUGGGCGUAAAGGGCGUGUAGGCGGCUGGGCAAGUCUGGCGUGAAAGCCCACGGCUCAACCGCGGAAUUGCGCGAGAUACUGCCUGUCUUGAGUCCGGGAGAGGAUGGCGGAAUUCCCGGUGUAGGGGUGAAAUGCGUAGAUAUCGGGAGGAACACCAGUGGCGAAGGCGGCCACCUGGACGGUGACUGACGCUGAGACGCGAAAGCGUGGGGAGCAAACAGG